GACAAAUUUUGGACAUGGGUUUCUGACCAUUAUCACUUAUGAUUGGAUUCGUGCCCAAGUAGCUGUCCAGGAGUACUGUGAGUACCCAUACAUGUACGUAAAUAGUGUACCUAUCUAGCACAUAUAGUCAGAAUCAAUCAAA